AUGAACGCUGGCGGCGUGCCUAAUACAUGCAAGUCGAGCGAACAGACGAGGAGCUUGCUCCUCUGACGUUAGCGGCGGACGGGUGAGUAACACGUGGAUAACCUACCUAUAAGACUGGGAUAACUUCGGGAAACCGGAGCUAAUACCGGAUAAUAUAUUGAACCGCAUGGUUCAAUAGUGAAAGACGGUUUUGCUGUCACUUAUAGAUGGAUCCGCGCCGCAUUAGCUAGUUGGUAAGGUAACGGCUUACCAAGGCAACGAUGCGUAGCCGACCUGAGAGGGUGAUCGGCCACACUGGAACUGAGACACGGUCCAGACUCCUACGGGAGGCAGCAGUAGGGAAUCUUCCGCAAAGGGCGAAAGCCUGACGGAGCAACGCCGCGUGAGUGAUGAAGGUCUUCGGAUCGUAAAACUCUGUUUUUAGGGAAGAACAAAUGUGUAAGUAACUAUGCACGUCUUGACGGUACCUAAUCAGAAAGCCACGGCUAACUACGUG
rnacentral:rRNA from 1 species